AUACUUUUCAAAGUCAAGAUUCUUUUUUUUUAAACCUUCUUGGACUUACCAAUGCUUGGCUGUUCCGCACUAAUUUCUGCUAGUACGUUGCAAGUUCCCACCAGAUUUUUUGGAAAAAGAUAAUUGUGAUCUGAUAACCUUCAAAGGGUAGUUGGGACACAAAUGAGCUUCUUUUUCUGUGAUCCCUUUGCACUGUUGCUUUAGCCAUUCCAGAUGGGAAUGCAAUCAGCAAAGGGCAGAAUGUAUUUCUCACUGUUAGAGAGCAAUCUGACAGCCACUGAAGGACACAGACUCUUACCUGUCUCACACCAACCUACAGAACUUGGUAACUGCAUCCCUACAACAUUCUUAAUCCAUUGAAAGGUAAAGCUGCAUAGACAUUUAAGAAAAGUAGUGUUUAGGAGGGGGAAAUCAUCUAUUGCCAGAGUAGCUGAAGUGUGUGGUCCUUUAGAAUUUUUGGAGUUGGAUGAGUGAUAUAAUAAUUCCAACUUUUCAGAAAAAAAAAUGACUCUUGGUAUUGACUUUCUUCACAAAGUCACAAAUAUAAAGAAAAAACUUACAAGAUUUCUUUUCCUUUUUUUCCUCAAGCUAGUAAUGAUUAUAAGUUAAUACAACAAGUGUUGUCCUAAAGACUGUGGCUUAUGAAGUAAAUUAUUUAUAGCAAAAUCCUCCAAAAGGUCUUGGUCUUCAAGGGCCUUACCAUCCCAGUAGUUAAUUCUUGGAUCCUUACUGUCCGUUCUAUGAUGACAGUAGUAGCCACCCACCUUCUAGUCCUGUGAGUCAUUAGCUCUAAUCUUCCCUUGGGCCUUCUGACCCUUUCAUCUCCAGAUAAAUAGACCAGUUUCAAAUCUAUCCCAGCCAUGCUCUCUGGACACCCCACCCCCACUCCUGGCUCUGCUAUCCCAUAGACGAAAUGGUGAUGUUUGGAAGGCUGCGUAUCUCAGAGUGUGCUCUGCGGUUUCCUCAUUUUCCUAGGUCCUUGAAAAAGCAUUGCUCACAAAUUAAGGCUCUAUUCCUUUUACGAAAUCAUUACAACUCCUUAUCUGUUGGCUAGAGGGGAUAAUAUUAGAUUUCAUCUUGCCUUUUAUUAUUACAUUUGUGAACAUUUAAAAUAAUCUGAGAAUGGAUUCCACAUUCCUUGACAGAGCUAUUUCUUUUUUGUCUUGUAGAGGGAUGCCACAGGCUUGUCACCAAGAGCAGGAGAUUCAGAAUUAGAUCUGACAUAAGGCCAACGUAUACUGGAGAGCUGUCUUUGCCAGGUUUCAGUUCUACUUCAGCCAGCUCUGCUCUUCUCUGAUGUGGAUCAAGCUAAGCAUGGAACGGCAGAAGCAGUUCAACCUGCCCAUGGUGUGAUGUGUGAUGCUCUACUAGUAACGAGCCAAAGAUAAAAACAGAAGUCACAAGGCUGCCGACAUCCUGAGUCACCUGGGACACUACGGCUACCAACCUCUCUCCAGUUGAAAAUAAAAUAGUUGUCUUCCUUCAGGACAGAUUUCCAAGGGGGGGGAGAGAG
rnacentral:lncRNA from 1 species